rnacentral:rRNA from 1 species
CACAUGCAAGUCGAGCGGUAGCAGAUCUAGCUUUGCUAGAUGCUGACGAGCGGCGGACGGUGAGUAACGCGUAGGAACCUGCCCAGUAGUGGGGGAUAGCCCGGGGAAACUCGGAUUAAUACCGCAUACGCUCUACGGAGGAAAGAGGGGGCUUCGGGCUCUCGCUAUUGGAUGGGCCUGCGUGAGAUUAGCUAGUUGGUGAGGUAAUGGCUCACCAAGGCGACGAUCUCUAGCUGGUCUGAGAGGAUGAUCAGCCACACUGGGACUGAGACACGGCCCAGACUCCUACGGGAGGCAGCAGUGGGGAAUAUUGCACAAUGGGCGCAAGCCUGAUGCAGCCAUGCCGCGUGUGUGAAGAAGGCUUUCGGGUUGUAAAGCACUUUCAGUGGGGAGGAAGGCCUCGUAGUUAAUAGCUGCGAGGAUUGACGUUACCCACAGAAGAAGCACCGGCUAACUCCGUG